GUCAUCUGCGAAUCAAAACGAUGAAUUGAACUUUGGAUGAAGAAAGGAGAAGAACUUUGAAUUUUUGAUCUUUAGAGAGUUUUGAUAAUUUGGAAUUUGGAUUUUCAAGGUGCUUUGCUUUUAGUUGCGUUUUGUCUAAUGGUUAAUUUUCCGUACCGGUGUAUCGUAUUAUAACCCAGCUCUUAUCUACAUUAAAUAUAAUUUAGCUUAGGAUUAUUUCUUCUGUUUAUCCUCUUUUUAGAUACGUAGAGAACUCUUUUUAAGAGUUAGAUUCGGGAGUAUAAAAAUGUAAGUGAAACGUAAGUGGCGAAUACAGAAAUAACCUCAAACUCAUUGUCCCUAUUUUAUAUUCUCAAAGAAAUUUUUAUUCAUCAUUUUCAAUAUUCCAGAUUUUCUAUUCGAUAUUGUUGCGUACAAAUAAUCAUCACCCUUAUUGUGUGUCGCUGUGUAUCGAGUAAUAAUACGUUACGAUAUCAAGAUAUCAUCGUUGACGAGAUAUGAUUCCACGCAUCGCUAUGGAAUUAAGGAGAGCAGAUUAUGGAAAAGUUUUAGGUUCGUAGGAAGUAGUACGAGGUUUGUCAAACGCGUUCGUUAUCUGGACAAUGAUUUAUGUAAGAACAAAUAUCUCCGCCCGCGAGGAUCAAGGUGCUCGACGCCACUUUAAUAACGUGGUAAUCCGUGCCCGUAUCCAUGACACCUUGGUAGCGCCAGAUACGGCGCAGAAACAAUUAUUAUUAUCCACACACGGGCUGUCACCUUUUAGCUAGAAUUCUGAUCCGCAACGAAUUUUACAGCCCGGCACUUAAUCACUCAGGUAGUAAGCCGACGACGAGGAGCACGGUUGACAGGGCUUUCAGAUUUCAGAAAUCGGUUGAUAAAUAUGUAAAUACCGUCGAAGGAGAGGAGGAAAAUUAUCAGAAAAUAAUUAUCCAUUUAUUUAACAAAAAGAAAACACGAGAAUCACAAGGAAUUUUGAUCUCUCGUAUCGAUCGAAAAUGAUUCCUGAAAAUAUUCGCAAUAUUCCUCAAAAUUUUAUGACGAAACAAAAAUAACGUAAGUUCAGCUAAUAAAAACGGGCCAAUCAGCUUAUCUGUACGACACAUCGAGGCCUGUAAUUCGAGGCCUGAUUUACGCCUAUUUAUUAUUUCCAUGUGACGCGUCAGCUGAUCAUCCACAGGGUAGCAGUAAAUCAAUCGGCAUGUUGAGAGCUGAUCAAAUAUUCUCGAAUGGAAUUAUCGUAUUUUUGACGACGUUUUUCGUAAUACAUGGGCUAAACGUUGGAAUGAAGAAUGAGACGAAACGGAAAAACCAUCAGGAAAAGUAGAGAAAGAGUUUCUCGCGAGAUUCUACGAUAUGUAGAUUCAUUAAAUUUAUCUUUUACAUAUAUAUAGGUGUCGUGUAGUUAAUUUAUCAGUGUGGAAACCGAGAUGAGGAUAUUAAACGAUUGAUAUAUCAAUUCCAUUGCUGGAAUAUAUGUUAGAUACAGCUUUCUCUUUCUUUUUUCUUUUUCUAAUGAUAAAUAGAUUGGAAAUUUAAAUUUUUCUAUGAACACGAUUACAGAAAUGGAAUUAAAAGUAAUUAAAAAUCUAUUUUAUCCCUAAAAUAUCAUUACAUGUAGUUUGCAUAUCUUAUAUUCUUACCAUGCAUAAAUUUCCAUAAUCUAGUGAGGAAAAAUGUUUAAGCAAUAGAAUCAAUAUAAUCAAAUAUCACAAAAGAUAGUUUCUACUCAUCAUUUGAAUUAAAAAAAUUAAUCAGUCGAUUGGAGCUAUUCUUUUUUCUUUUUCUAACCUAUCUUCUCACAUCAUGUGCAUUCUGUGCUAAACUUUUCUACAUUUAAACUUUCAAGACUUACUUAUUUCAAACAAAGCUUUAAUUAUUACAGAGAAGAAACAAAAGAAAUAAUACAACGAGUUAUAAAAAUUCAUGGAGACUCGACAAAUCAGCAUUCCAUAAAUUUUCCUACUAUACAAACUUUCACCAUUCAAAUGAAGUUUAAUUAUUAUCAAACAGUGCUACCAAUGCCAAUUCCACGUAACACAAAAAGCUAUUACACGAAUCUUACUUCACCUUAAGCUCGGUUACUCGCAAUGCUCUACAGUUUAAUUAUCGAGCGACGAAAAUAAUACGAAAAAAGGGAAAAAUCGCAGAAAUUUCAUCGUGAUUCCACGAUUAGGAGAAUGAACGAUCGGAUUAAGUCUCGCUCUUGGAGAAAGAGAGAGAGAGAGAGUGUGUCGGCGAUCGCAGCAGUCCGCCAUUAGCCGACGGGCCGAAACUCGAGUAGGAAACGUCUGUCAGGGAAAAUUGGUAAUCAUAGACCACCGCGAGCGGCAUUAAAGUUCGAGGAUGGGCGAGUGUAGCAGGAUCUUCAAAGAGAGUGCACUUAGAUAAUGCCCGCCCAGAGGGGGUGGCGUACAGCCCCUUCUCCUUCUUCCGAUAUCGAGGGGGCUUUUGAUGAAGGCUGCGAAUUUGGUUGAGUAAAGGGUAAUCCUAUCACAUGCUAUGAGAUCUUCGUUCCCGGCGAAAAGGGCACCGACUAGAUGGAGAUCGUGCAAGACUUUCACGUGCUUACAAAUUUCCAGACGGAACGAAUAAACCUUUGGAUUAUCUCCUUUUCCUUUUCUUUUUCUUUUUUUCGAAACAAGAGAACAAGAUCGAUCGGAAAUCUUUUUUCCUCAUCGUAUGAAUGUAUCUAUCACGUGUUGGUUGACUGUUUUCAUUUUAUUUAUUUUAGGUGGAAAUUUAUUAAGAAUUUUUUUCUGCGUAUAAAUUCUCCCAUAAGGAGAAGGGAAUUGUAUUUGAAUUGUCCAAUUUCGAGAAAAAUUAAAAAUUAAAAUCGGAACCAAUCGGGUUUAAGAGUAUUUUCUUUUAAAAAAGAAUUUACUAAAUUAAUUAUUAAGAAUUCUGAAUUA